ensembl:misc_RNA 7SK 7SK RNA
GGACGUGAAGGAAAUCUGGCUGUGACAUCUGUCCCCCAUCAAUUACCAGCAUUGAUUCAGCUGAUCUGGCUGGCUAGGCAGGUGUCUCCUUUCUCCCUCACAGCUCCAUGAGCAUCCUGCCUGAAGGUGCACACUGAGAAGAAGAGACCUUCUCCAGUAGAGGAGAGGACCAUUCUUCGGUCAAGGGCAUAUAAGUAGCUGUGCUUCCUUGCUAGAACCUCCAAACAAGCUCUCAAGAAUUUGAAAACAAAAUAUGACGAUUAUGUUCUCUCCUACCAAAAUAAUCAAUAAUAUAAUUCUAGUCAAAUCUUUAUAGGAAUU